rnacentral:rRNA from 1 species
UACGGAGGGGACUAGCGUUGUUCGGAAUUACUGGGCGUAAAGCGCACGUAGGCGGAUUUGUAAGUCAGGGGUGAAAUCCCGGGGCUCAACCUCGGAACUGCCUUUGAUACUGCAAAUCUCGAGUCCGGAAGAGGUGAGUGGAAUUCCUAGUGUAGAGGUGAAAUUCGUAGAUAUUAGGAAGAACACCCGUGGCGAAGGCGGCUCUCUGGGCCGGUACUGACGCUGAGGAGCGAAAGCGUGGGGAGCAAACAGG